rnacentral:rRNA from 1 species
AUUGAGCGCUGGCGGCAUGCCUUACACAUGCAAGUCGAACGGCAGCGCGGGAGCAAUCCUGGCGGCGAGUGGCGAACGGGUGAGUAGUGCAUCGGAACGUGCCCAGUUGUGGGGGAUAGCCCGGCGAAAGCCGGAUUAAUACCGCAUGAGACCUGAGGGUGAAAGCGGGGGAUCGAAAGACCUCGCGCGACUGGAGCGGCCGAUGUCAGAUUAGGUAGUUGGUGGGGUAAGGGCCUACCAAGCCUGCGAUCUGUAGCUGGUCUGAGGGGACGACCAGCCACACUGGGACUGAGACACGGCCCAGACUCCUACGGGAGGCAGCAGUGGGGAAUUUUGGACAAUGGGCGCAAGCCUGAUCCAGCCAUGCCGCGUGCGGGAAGAGGGCCUUCGGGUUGUAAACCGCUUUUGUCGGGGAAGAAACGGCCUGGGCUAAUACCUUGGGCUAAUGACGGUACCCGAAGAAUAAGCACCGGCUAACUACGUGCCAGCCGCCGCAGUAA